AGAUUGAACGCUGGCGGCAGGCUUAACACAUGCAAGUCGAGCGGUAACAGAGGUAGCUUGCUAUCUGCUGACGAGCGGCGGACGGGUGAGUAAUGCUUGGGAAUAUGCCAUAUGGUGGGGGACAACAGUUGGAAACGACUGCUAAUACCGCAUAACGUCUACGGACCAAAGAGGGGGACCUUCGGGCCUCUUGCCAUUUGAUUAGCCCAAGUGAGAUUAGCUAGUUGGUGAGGUAAUGGCUCACCAAGGCGACGAUCUCUAGCUGGUUUGAGAGGAUGAUCAGCCACACUGGGACUGAGACACGGCCCAGACUCCUACGGGAGGCAGCAGUGGGGAAUAUUGCACAAUGGGCGAAAGCCUGAUGCAGCCAUGCCGCGUGUGUGAAGAAGGCCUUCGGGUUGUAAAGCACUUUCAGUUGUGAGGAAAGGGGUGUAGUUAAUAGCUGCAUCCUGUGACGUUAACAACAGAAGAAGCACCGGCUAACUCCGUGCCAGCAGCCGCGGUAAUACGGAGGGUGCGAGCGUUAAUCGGAAUUACUGGGCGUAAAGCGUGCGUAGGCGGUUUGUUAAGCAAGAUGUGAAAGCCCAGGGCUCAACCUUGGAACUGCAUUUUGAACUGGCAAACUAGAGUACUGUAGAGGGUGGUGGAAUUUCCAGUGUAGCGGUGAAAUGCGUAGAGAUUGGAAGGAACAUCAGUGGCGAAGGCGGCCACCUGGACAGAUACUGACGCUGAGGCACGAAAGCGUGGGGAGCAAACAGGAUUAGAUACCCUGGUAGUCCACGCCGUAAACGAUGUCAACUAGCUGUCUGUGGACUUGAUCCGUGGGUAGCGGAGCUAACGCAUUAAGUUGACCGCCUGGGGAGUACGGCCGCAAGGUUA
rnacentral:rRNA from 1 species